ACCUAUUGCCUCUUCCAUCUUCACCACCCACAAAAUCAUAUCCCUCCCACUUCUGCAAUUAUACGCAUCUUAAUCUCUUAUCCGGCAAUCAAUCCUAACCCACCCACGUUCGAAGAUGACAUGAUCGUUGGAUGGAACAACUUCAAAAUCGAAAUCAGAAUCGGGAACCAACCCUCCAGGGCUCGUUCAAUCGACGUGCGUUCAAUGUACAGUUACAAUAAAAUCUGAUUAACCCUGUGCAAUCGUUCAUAUCCGCUUCAUUAUCUUCACACACUAUCGAUGCCCUUAAUACAGAGAGAAGGAACGAAUUUCUUCCACCUGCUCGAAUUUUCAUCACCAAAACCCUACGAAUUGUUAAUCAAACAUCUGUUGUGACUAACUAUAUGCACGAGGAAGAUGAUGGAAUAUUUAACAUUUUUGAUUAAGUGGAUGAUAAAUUCAAGGAUGUUGAUAAUGAAGCAAGAAGUUCAUGAAGCCAAAGGAAAAGAUAAUGUUUAGUUUCAUAUAUGUGAUGAAAUUUUAAAUAUUUGAAAGUUGAUUAUAUUUUUUUUGUGGUUUAGGUUUUGAAUUGUUAUUGAUGUGGAACAGAAAGAAAAUGGAUUGAAAGUGUAUUCUAGGCAAAUAUGUUCUGUCAGAAUAUUUAGAAUAUUUACCACAAAAUUUGAUGUGAUUCUUAGCAAUAAUAUUCUUUAAGAAUGAAUUAGUGUUUUUGUUA